AUUGUAGGAAAACGUAAAAUGAAAACAGCAAUAGGACUGGCAAGGAAAAGACUCCAAGCCAGGGAACCAAACAGAAUUAGGAACUAUCUCCUAGGUCCUAUGUCACAGCUCCAAGCCCAAGGUGGGAUUCCAAAAUAGGGCGGGUUUCCCCUGUUCUACUGGACCAACACCUGGGAGCUAGGCAAGACGUACAUGGACAAUUAAAAUAGUGCUUUUAUGUGCAACUGAGAUAUGUAUGGAGUACCUCAUAGGAUGUGGAAAUGGAAACAUUUGCUACUGAAAUUCAGAAAAUGUGUGGAAAUGAAAUAAAGAUUUGAGAAUGCACGAGGAGAACUUGAAACAAUUAUAUUAAGACAUGGAUUGAGAACUGGGGGACUGUAAGAUUAAAAGUCAGAAGGAAAAGGAAGGGAAAGGGAAAAGAAGGAAGAUUCAUACACGACUGGAGAACUAGGACCUUCUGGGAGAGGAAACUGGAAGUUGAGUGAGAAGUAAGAAAAGAGGAGACGGUUUGCCGACAGUGAUGAGAUGAGGACCAAGAACAAUGGAUGAGAAGGGCUGCCGAGUAUAUCACACUAUGGCAAGACUAAGUAAAUGCCAGGCUGCCUGGAGCUCUUGCAUAGAUUCAUUGGACAAUAUGAAAGGAAAAGCUUUCCAGACAGAGGGAAAAAACAAACAAACACAAAACAAACAGAUGAAAAUGACAGUGCGGAGCAUUGGUCACCAAAACACACCGUGUUAGAUUUGCAGAUGGUUUAAACAAGUAUCACUCUAAUCCUGAGUGACUUCCCAGCAGGUGAGCCUAAGUAAUUAAGCCUUAAUAAUCAUUCCCUUCCAUUAUCAGUAAAGUUAGUGAACAAGUUAGCUUGAAAACAUGGAUUCUUUUUUUAUUUCCAUUGAAAUUAUUAUUUCUUACAAAUAUUUUUCCCAUUCAUUAAUGGAUCAAAUAUGACUGUGUAGAAAUUUGCCUACUAAAGGAUUUUUGGUUGCUUGUUUUAAAGUAUUAAUUAAUGUCAAUUGGUAACCAGCAACAGUAAUAGAAGCGCUUUGCACUUCAUUUAUGUAUGUUAAUGAAGGAACAUUAAUACUGCAUGCAUUCCUUCAGCUGUCCUUAGUAUCAAGAAUAGAUUGUGUCUUUGUAAUUUUGCCCACUGAUAUUUUCCCAUCAUUAAUCCAUAUUGAAAAUUCUGAUAUUUCAUCCACUGUGACAACUUUACUACAGUUCUCCUCAGAUCAAAUACAGCAGCAUGUAAGUACACUGCAUAUCUGUAUUGCCUCAGAAUAGCACUGAAGACACAGUUACCAA